CCAUAAGCAGUUUGGGACCAGGGCAGCACAUCUCCUCAUAGCAGUUAAACCUUGCCAGUGCAAUCAACCUUGUCUGCAAAUUAUUCUACAUUGUCUGACAACUGGUAACAGUGCUGAAAACAGAAAUGUCUAUCCAUGAAUUGAUCCAGAUGACAUGCAUCGUUGACAAUAAGGUUUCCCAAUGUAAAACACCACACUGACUUUCAAGGCCUGAAGGCUGUCUGCCUAUGCAAGUAAAAAAUAUCUGAAUGCUGGGGUGAUGGAUAUGGAAAAGAAUAGGAGUAGAUUAUAG